CGAGUGGCGAACGGGUGAGUAAUGCAUCGGAACGUACCCGGGAGUGGGGGAUAACUAUCCGAAAGGAUAGCUAAUACCGCAUAUUCUGUGCGCAGGAAAGCAGGGGAUCUUCGGACCUUGUGCUCCCGGAGCGGCCGAUGUCAGAUUAGCUAGUUGGUGGGGUAAAGGCCUACCAAGGCGACGAUCUGUAGCGGGUCUGAGAGGAUGAUCCGCCACACUGGAACUGAGACACGGUCCAGACUCCUACGGGAGGCAGCAGUGGGGAAUUUUGGACAAUGGGCGCAAGCCUGAUCCAGCCAUGCCGCGUGAGUGAAGAAGGCCUUCGGGUUGUAAAGCUCUUUCGGCCGGGAAGAAAUCGUAUAGGUUAAUACCCUGUGCGGAUGACGGUACCGGCAUAAGAAGCACCGGCUAACUACGUGCCAGCAGCCGCGGUAAUACGUAGGGUGCGAGCGUUAAUCGGAAUUACUGGGCGUAAAGCGUGCGCAGGCGGUUUUGUAAGA
rnacentral:rRNA from 1 species